GAGUUGGUAUCUCAGUGGUAGAGUACAUGCUCUGCAUGUAUGAGGGGUUCAAUUCCCAGCUUCUCG